AUGUUUGUACCAGGGCCAUUGCAUGCUGCAGUUGCCUGGGCCCAGCCUACCUGCCUGCCUGGGUGGUGCUCUCCCAGCUCCAGCCACACCUGGCAAGGCUGUCUGCAACGUGUGAGGAUUUCACCAGGGAAAAACAAGAAUCGCUGGCUGCUGUGCAGAAUCUUGUUCUGGUUAUUACCACCACCGGAGUCACAAGAUCAUCACUCAGGCCAGUGGCAAUCUGCUGAAAACAAAGGGUUCCUUAAUGGCCGAGAUAAGCAGAUAAAGCACUGCUGCGCUAUUUAAAGCACAGUAUUCAUGCCUGAAUAAAGUUACUCCAAUUUUGGAGCAGAGUGUUUGCUGGGAAAGCUGUACUUACAUUCCACCCCAGGGACUCAAGCGCCUUUGCACACUUUCAUGUAUCUCCUUUCUUCAAAGUCAGAUGUUUCACCUACAGCUUAAUUCCUGCCUACAAUUACAGUAGGCAGCUCCCUUCAGUCCUUUUGUAGCUUUUUUUUGAUAAACAGUGGUGGUAGGCACAGAGGUGGCUACGAGCUAUGUCUGCACUUCGUUACCUCACUCAAAAGAAAUGUUGUGUGCUUUGGGACAGCCCUGUGAGUUAGGAAAAUGGUGUUUUACAGCUGGGGAAGACAGACAAAGAGUGGGUGAGCACCUUUUCCAGGAUCCCACGGGACGCUGGCAGCACAGAGUUGUAUUUCUGUCUAGUGCCCUAACCACUGAUCCGUCCUGUCUCCUGCUUUGGGGCGAGAGAGUCUGAAAAUGCCAUUGAUUUGCACUUUCUACUUCUGGGGAAGAAAGGUAGGGCUGACUAGAUUAUACAGGGAGACAUGCAAAAAUAAACAGAAGACAAUAAACGGCAUGAUGUAAAUUAGCUUUGUAGAACUCUAAUAAUAUUAAGAUGUUAUUUAGAACACAGAGGCAAGGAGAUGUCUGUUAAAAAAAAAAAAAGAAAGAUAUGAUUUUAACCAGAUAAAAUCCCUUUAAUUAGUCUGAAAUUCUUGCCUAUGUUUUAUAGCAACACACUUCCAUAUGCAUGCCAGAAAGUCGGGGAAACAUGGAAAUCAUUGUCAAUUUGCAGCAUUCACUACUGGGAUACAGCAGAUUAUUUCAAUGAAGGCUAGAUAAACUUUGUGUCUGUAGAAAACACUUGUUUGGUGGUCUCUUUGCUUUGUCAUCUUCCACUGCACAUCUGGUUUGGGAAGGAAUGAAAGGGCCUAUGCUCGAAAAGCAGGUUGCUUAUAUGAUGCAAUAUUUAAAUUAUUUCUGUUUUUCAGAAGUCUGGAAAAGUAAUUGUUGUCUUGGUUAUAUUGGUUACAAACUGAACCUCACUUCUUGUUAUGGAUGACCUUGGACCAUGAUGGAAAGCAGUAUUCUCCAAACUAGAGAUGUUUGCCCUCACUG
rnacentral:lncRNA from 1 species